UAUAGACUAGGUAAUCUGCCUACUACAGACGUGCACUGUAGAUUAGGCCCGCUGUGAGCCGUUUGGGUUGUAUCUUGGAGCCGUCGUUGACCGCCAAUACCUGCACGUGGGGAGGCAACAACGGCUUUAGGACAGUGCGUCUCUUGGCGUGCCUCUCACACCUCACAGGCCAGAUAUUUUCUUACCACUAUUUUAUUAUAAUUGUUAGAUUU
rnacentral:lncRNA from 1 species